rnacentral:rRNA from 1 species
CUAACUCCGUGCCAGCAGCCGCGGUAAUACGGAGGAUGCAAGCGUUAUCCGGAUUCACUGGGUUUAAAGGGUGCGCAGGCGGACAUUUAAGUCAGGGGUGAAAUCCUACAGCUUAACUGUAGAACUGCCCUUGAUACUGAAUGCCUAGAGUAAAGCUGAAGUGGGCGGAAUGUGUUGUGUAGCGGUGAAAUGCUUAGAUAUAACACAGAACACCAAUCGCGAAGGCAGCUCACUAAACUUUAACUGACGCUCAUGCACGAAAGCGUGGGGAGCAAACAGGAUUAGAUACCCUGGUAGUCCACGCCCUAAACGAUGAUCACUCGCUGUUGGCGAUAUAUUGUCAGUGGCUAAGCAAAAGUGAUAAGUGAUCCACCUGGGGAGUACGACCGCAAGGUUGAAACUCAAAGGAAUUGACGGGGGCCCGCACAAGCGGAGGAGCAUGUGGUUUAAUUCGAUGAUACGCGAGGAACCUUACCAGGGCUCGAACGCAGGAGGAAUACUCCCGAAAGGAAGUAGCCAGAAAUGGCCGCCUGCGAGGUGCUGCAUGGUUGUCGUCAGCUCGUGCCGUGAGGUGUCAGGUUAAGUCCUAUAACGAGCGCAACCCCUAUUCAUAGUUGCCAGCAUAUUACGGUGGGGACUCUAUGAAAACUGCCUGCGCAAGCAGUGAGGAAGGUGGGGAUGACGUCAAAUCAGCACGGCCCUUAUGUCCUGGGCUACACACGUGCUACAAUGGCCGGUACAGAAGGCCGCAACCACGCAAGUGGAAGCUAAUCCCUAAAACCGGUCUCAGUUCGGAUUGGAGUCUGCAACCCGACUCCAUGAAGCCGGAUUCGCUAGUAAUCGCACAUCAGCCAUGGCGCGGUGAAUACGUUCCCGGGCCUUGUACACACCGCCCGUCAAGCCAUGGAAGCCGGGGGUACCUGAAGUGCGUAACCGCGAGGAGCGCCCUAGGGUAAGACCGGUGACUGGGGCUAAGUCGUAACAAGGUAGCCGUACCGGAAGGUGCGGCUG